AGCCCUCACUUGCAAUUUUUGGACGAGCUCGGCGACCGGUUUAGGUGGUCCCUGAGGAAUCCAGCAGCAUCGCGGGUGGCCGAGGCUGAGUUCGCUGCCAGGAAAUUGCACUUGAGAGCCGCAGGUACAGGCUGCUGCUUCCUCUGCUGAGCAGGAUCGUGGCAAGGGCGUCGCGAGCUAGAGCCCUACCAGACUGAUCGAGUUAGAGGCGUCCUCCCCUUACAGCAGGUAGUGAUUUUUCUUUUGGAGCUUUUGUACAUAGCAGUUGAACUCGCCAGUGCGAGUGGUUUUGUACUUGGGAUUUGUGACUAUGUAUAAAAAGCUCGUUUACUUUAGUUA